AUGCUGUAAAACUCCGUUUCCCUCAAGAACAUUUUUAUUAUUUUCUGUUUUGUAGGUUUUUUUUUUCAUUUGUGCUGCUACAUGUGCUUAUUUGUUUAAUGUUUGCAAUUGAACGGAUUUGUGUCAUAUUUAUUACUCUUGCAGAGUAAAAAAACACGCUUUAAAGUUGCUGUUUUAAUAAGUGUGUCAGUCAAACCGUCCCAGUUCAGUUUGUUGCAGCUCUACCUAAUAUAAAAGUCAUUUAGAAUCGGAUUCAAUGAAAAGAUCCGAAUCAAAAUAUUUAUUGGUUCGCGAAUCGGACACCGGUAGAUGCGAGUAAUUUUAUCUCCUCAAGCCGUGAUUGCACGGUUAGUUUUCUUGUGUCCAACUUUAUUUGAUUAAUCUGCCAGUAGAGUUUAAUAAACCGGUUAAAAAAUAACGACAUAAACUGCAUAUAAAAAUAGGUUAAACUUCUUUAUAUGAUGGUUUUUAGGAUCACGUUUGAUUUUUAAUUUGAUUGGUGUGAUAGUUGGUUUUCUCUCAUAAACAAUUAUUGGAGAUCAUUAUCAUAAUUAUAAUGGCAAAUAUGCUUGUUGAUUUGGAUGAAAGUUGAGAGUCUUGGUCAGAGCUCCAUAAAGCAGACAAACCUGACUUUUCAGCAGCAAGGAAACUACUCUCAUGUCAAGAAAAGAUGUUUGCAAAAUCUGUGGCAUCCUAGAAAGUUCCUCGCACCUUGGCACUGCUGUGGACAGUCAUUCAGACAGUGGUCACAGCGAGGAAGAGUCCAGUAAUAAAGAAUCUACAGUUGUAUCAUCCUGGAUCCCUGAUGCAAGCCAUGUCCCAGAGAAUGACCUUAUCAAGGGUCCAGGUGAAGUUCUGCUGUAUUACUGCUACUGUCAGAUCCUCAGAUCAUUUGUCAGUGGUGUAAUAGUGGGGAAUGCGAAUCCCCAAAGAUACACGGACAAACUCAGUGAGCCUGUAACUGUGUGAUUUUAAGUCUGCAAACUUCUUUUUUUAAAACUGUUGUACCAGUUCAGUCGUGAUUUAAAAAAUGGGACACUAUGCAAAUCUUCAGUAAAUUACAAAUCAAUCUCA